GCCAAAAAUCUAGCUCACUAAAUACAAACACUUACAACUACAAACCACCAAACAACUUCCAACUAAAACAUUCUUAAUCUUUAGUAUAGGAGAUAGAAAAAGAAAAAGAAGCAAUAGACAAAGUACCGCAAGGGAACGAUGAAAUAGAAAUGAAAUAAAUAUUUAAAGCCAAAAAAAGCAAAGACUAAACCUUGUACCUUUUGCAUCAUGGUCUAGCUAGUCUACCUGAGCAAAAAGAAUUGAAGUUCACCUUCCCGAAACUAAGCGAGCUACUUCGGGGCAGCUUAUGAGCACACCCUUCUCUGUGGCAAAAGAGUGGGACGACCCCCAAGUAGCGGUGACAGACCUAACGAGCUUAGUGAUAGCUGGUUACUCAAGAAACGAAUUUUAGUUCAGCCUUAAAAAAUUCAAGCACCAUCAAGCAGCCCCGUUUUUUAAGAGUAAUUCUAUAGAGGUACAGCUCUAUAGAAAAAGGACACAACCUGUACCUUUGGGUAAUGAUCAUAACCUUCAAAGAUCGAGGAAAAGUUGGCUUAAAAGCAGCCACCUUAAAAGAAAGCGUCACAGCUCCCCCUCAAUUAACCUUUUAAUUAGGACACAAAUUCAAAACCCAUCUAAACUAUUGAGUAUUUCUAUACGUUUAUAGGAGAAUUAAUGCUAGAACUAGUAACUCAGAAUUAAACAUUCUCUUAAUGUAAGUGUAAAUCAGAUUGAAUAAAUCACUGAUAAUUAACAGCCUUACAGAAAGCAAUGUAACAACUCACCAAGAAAACCUUACAUCAAAAACUGUUAAUCUUACACAAGAACACACCAAGAAAGAUUAAAAGAUAUAGAAGGAACUCGGCAAAUCUAGGUCCCGCCUGUUUACCAAAAACAUCGCCUCUUGCCCAAUUUGUAUAAGAGGUCCCGCCUGCCCAGUGACAUCAUGUUUAACGGCCGCGGUAUUUUGACCGUGCGAAGGUAGCGUAAUCACUUGUCUUUUAAAUGAAGACUGGUAUGAACGGCAUCACGAAGACCUUACUGUCUCCUAUAUCCAAUCAGUGAAACUGAUCUCCCCGUGAAGAAGCGGGGAUUUUACCAUAAGACGAGAAGACCCCAUGGAGCUUUAAACUUAAGUCACUUGCUUCAAUCACUAAUCCACGGGAUAAACACUUAACCAAGCAACGAUGAUCUAUGUUUUCGGUUGGGGCGACCACGGAGAAUAAUAAAUCCUCCUCGAUGAAUGAGACAAUUUAAACCAAGAGCUACAGCUCUAAGUAUUAGAAUAUCUAACAUACAUUGAUCCAAUCCUAUUGAUCAACGAACCAAGUUACCCUGGGGAUAACAGCGCAAUCCAUUUCAAGAGUCCAUAUCGACAAAUGGGUUUACGACCUCGAUGUUGGAUCAGGGCAUCCCAGUGGUGCAGCCGCUACUAAAGGUUCGUUUGUUCAACGAUUAAAGCCCUACGUGAUCUGAGUUCAGACCGGAGUAAUCCAGGUCAGUUUCUAUCUAUGCAGUAUUUUUCCUAGUACGAAAGGACCGGAAAAACAGAGCCUCUAACCUGUCAAGCUCUAACCUUACAUUAGUGAAAACAUCUCAACUAAGAAAAGGCCUAACAAUCAACCCUAAACAAGGGCA
rnacentral:rRNA from 1 species